CCUACGGGGGGCAGCAGUGGGGAAUAUUGCGCAAUGGGCGAAAGCCUGACGCAGCGACGCCGCGUGAGGGAUGAAGGUCUUCGGAUCGUAAACCUCUGUCAGCAGGGAAGAAAGGUCACUGUGCUAAUCAGCAGUGAAUUGACGGUACCUGCAAAGAAAGGACAGGCUAACUCCGUGCAAGCAGCCGCGGUAAUACGGAGGGUGCGGGCGUUAAUCGGAAUUACUGGCGUAAAGCGCUCGUAGGCGGUAUGUGAAGUCAAGGGUGAAAUCCCCGCGCUCAACGUGUGAACUGCCUUUCAAACUGGCAAACUGGAUUGUGUGAGAGGAUAGUGGAAUUCCAGGUGUAGGAGUGAAAUCCGUAGAUAUCUCGAGGAACAUCAGUGGCGAAGGCGACUAUCUGGCACAUAACUGACGCUGAGGAGCGAAAGCGUGGGUAGCAAACAGGAUUAGAUACCCCUGUAGUC
rnacentral:rRNA from 1 species